CCACGAUAUGGGCAUCGACAGGGGGC
rnacentral:sRNA from 1 species